rnacentral:lncRNA from 1 species
CAGAUGCUAUAUUUCCCCAUACUUCAUCACAAAUCAGAAGAACCAGAAAUGUGUAAGUCUCUUUGCUGCUGUUACUUGCAAUAAAAUGUUUAUUACUUAAUAAAUCGACUCUUUGAUUUAUUUGCUUGCUCUGAAAUGAUAUGAGUUUGCCAAAUCAUACAUUGAUGCACUUCAUAAGGUGUUUCCUUUGAGGUUUUUCAUACUGAAUGGAAUGAUUUUGAAUAUCGAUAUAUUAGUAAAAAGCUUUCCCCAACUUUUGAAUUGUCCAAAGAAAAACUUUAUGUAAGAGUCGAAGCACCAAAAGGAGAAUUCGGAAUAAAAGUUUGAACAAUGAGAGCAUUUGAUUUUCAUCUGUAAUAUGUUCUAAUUUGACCAAUCUUUUUACAUUCUCUAGGUUCUGACAGUUGAAUAUGUCUCUAGGAUCAAAAUAAACUGCAUACAAGGUCUUGAUCAAUUAAGUGUGUAUCGCCAGAGGUAUCAAAGAAUAUAUAUGAACCACUUUAAGUGAAAUCCUCCUUAUCUUGAUGUCAGCUUUUCUACUUCUAUUUUUAUUUCUUUUGGGAGUAAUUAAGCAAUUCAAUAAUUUUAUUUUUUUCUCAAUAUCCCAACUAUGGGUGCUACUGGAAAUUGUAGGUUGCUUAUAUUUUUUCUCUUGAUGCCCCCAUUGGUUAUGUUUUCCUUGUUGGACUUUAAUGAGUAUUCUAGAUGAUUAUUUUGAUGGCUACUAUCAUAAGAGAUGUUAGAAUCUUAGAUAAUUGUUACACAUUGUCUUCUUCUUGCCAACUCUUUCACUAGAUUUAUUUCAAAUAUGAGUUUCCUCUUGAACUAAAUAUCUUGCCAAAACUGUACACCCAACUUUAUCAGGUAUUGCGUCUAUAAAAUUAUUUUCUUCACCUGGUUUAUAAUUUGUUCGUGGUCAUCGAUUUUCUGCAGGAAGUAUACAAUAAUCUUUUUUUAACUACUGAACUCUUACUCGUAGGUGUGGUUGUUGUACCUUUACACGGGGUGAGCUCUAAGGUAAAACAUUCUGAGAGUCAGUGGAAGUGAUAUACGUCCACGGUAGUUUAGUUACCCUUUUGGCAUAUGUCAAUUACUUUCGAAGAGAUAUUUCUUUUAAUUUCUUCUAAAAUUUCUAUCUGAUUGCCAAGACAUAUUUCUUGCACAUGCAUCCUUGUCCCCGUUGUUAAUUUAGUCAGACUGGAGCUGUUUGUUGAAGUUGGUAGAUAGGUAAAGUACUUGUUAAAAUAAAAAAUUUUGUUGGUUUUUUUUUUUUGCUAAAAUUAUGUUGAUUUUCUUUGUUGUUAUAUAAUGAAAUUUGAUACUAAUGGGACAUCUUGUCAAGACUAGAUAGAACUUGUGGACUAGAGGAUCAGAAUUAUUUUUGUUGUUCUAUUAGUGCUUUUGUUUGUUCAUUGCUUCUGUUUUCUACAAGUAUGCUGUGAAAAACUGAAAGUCGUAUUUUAUUUCUCCAGGUAGAGUUGGAUUCGAGGGAAAAACACCACCCAUGUGAUACAAAUGUCACAGGUGCAAGGUGCUUGGUAUGUCAAUGUACCUGCAAGUAUCAUUUGCUUUUUUCUGUUUAUUUUAUUUAUUUAUUUAUUUAUUUAUUUUAUUUUAUUUUAUUUUUAUCACUCAAGUAAAUAGAAGUUCUUAGAUGAAACAAAUGCACUACUAAAAUUCAUACUUGAUAAAAUACUUUUAUAUAGUGCAUUUGAUACAGCGCUGCCCAACCACUGGAUAUCUGAAUUAUGACUUAGAAAUAGUGAAACCUCCCACUGCAAUCUCAAGUCUAUGCUAAUGGCUAUUCCUGGAGACUCAUAUGCAUUACCAAGUGGGGCUAUUGCAGUGUUGAAGCCAAAUGAGUAAGUAGUUUCUAAAAAUUCAUAUCGACCUUUUUAUGUAGAGGGUGCGAUGUUCUGAGCUAGGAAUUGAAGAGGAGACAAUACGGGCCUUUUAUGUUGAUUUUGUUAGAGAGAUUUUUAUGUUGUUCUUUUCCAUUAUGCUGAUGGGAGCAAGGCCCACUUCUGCUAAUUAAUAAUCCCAUAUGUACCAAAUUGAAUUGGGGUGUUACCUUUUUUUUUUUUUUUUCCAUAACAAGUUUGUUAUCCACAGAUUAUUCAUAACUUCAUAGAUAUGAAAGAAGUUACAUUUUGGAAAUUAGUUUUUAAGCAAUCCUUCGUAAAUAAGUGUCGUCAUGUGACGAUAUUUGUUAGUUCUCAGACCAGUGGCAUGAUUUUGAUCUAUUGAAUUUCAGCAAAGGAGGAGGAAAAGAAGAGUAUGCACUUUUUGUUUUAAUCCUUAUUGUACUUGCACAAAUAUAGUGUAUGUUCUGCUUUGGCUGAUUAAUCCAUUCAUAUUUUCUACAGGACAGAGAUUGGAAAGCAUGAGAUGAACAAAUAUAUGCAACAAAGGAUGAUUGUAUACUGAUGAAAAAUUAUUCUUUUCGAACUUCUCUGAAGUUAUCUUUGUUCUUCGUUUUACAUUUUACAUAAUUAGUUCGAAAGAUAAUUUUUCUAUGGAUCUCAUUGAAGUUUUCUUUAUUUCUUCACUCUUUUGAUGCUUCGUAACUGUAUCUUAUGGGUGAAAUCAUGUGUAAAUUUUCUUUUCAAAUUGAGUUUAUUUUGUUGACCUCAUUCAAUGCACAUAUCUCCCUUUAAUCCUAAACAUUCGACAUAUUUGUUAGUUCUCAGACCAGUGGCAUGAUUUUGAUCUAUUGAAUUUCAGCAAAGGAGGAGAAACAGAAGAGUAUGCACCUUUUAUUUUAAUCCUUAUUGUACUUGCACAAAUAUAGUGUAUGUUCUGCUUUGGUUGAUUAAUCCAUUCAUAUUUUCUACAGGACAGAGAUCGGAAAGCAUGAGAUGAACAAAUAUAUGCAACAAAGGAUGAUUGUAUACUGAUGAAAAAUUAUUCUUUUCGAACUUCUCUGUAGUUAUCUUUGUUCUUCGUUUUACAUUUUACAUAAUUAGUUCGAAAGAUAAUUUCUCUAUGGAUCUCAUUGAAGUUUUCUUUAUUUCUUCACUCUUUUGAUGCUUCGUAACUGUAUCUUAUGGGUGAAAUCAUGUGUAAAUUUUCUUUUCAAAUUGAGUUUAUUUUGUUGACCUCAUUCAAUGCACAUAUCUCC